rnacentral:rRNA from 1 species
AGAACGAACGCUGGCGGCAUGCCUAAUACAUGCAAGUCGAACGAACUCUUCGGAGUUAGUGGCGCACGGGUGCGUAACGCGUGGGAAUCUGCCCCUUGGUUCGGAAUAACAGUUGGAGACGACUGCUAAUACCGGAUGAUGACGAAAGUCCAAAGAUUUAUCGCCAAGGGAUGAGCCCGCGUAGGAUUAGCUAGUUGGUGAGGUAAAGGCUCACCAAGGCAACGAUCCUUAGCUGGUCUGAGAGGAUGAUCAGCCACACUGGGACUGAGACACGGCCCAGACUCCUACGGGAGCAGCAGUAGGGAAUAGUUGGACAAGUGGACGAAAGCCUGAUCCAGCAAUGCCGCGUGAGUGAUGAAGGCGUUAGGGUGUAAGCUCUUUACCGAGAU